UACGUAGGGGGCAAGCGUUGUCCGGAAUCAUUGGGCGUAAAGAGCGUGUAGGCGGUCCGGUAAGUCGGUUGUGAAAGUCCAGGGCUCAACCCUGGGAUGCCGACCGAUACUGUCGGACUAGAGUUCGGAAGAGGCGAGUGGAAUUCCCGGUGUAGCGGUGAAAUGCGCAGAUAUCGGGAGGAACACCUAUGGCGAAGGCAGCUCGCUGGGACGUUACUGACGCUGGAGACGCGAAAGCGUGGGGAGCAAACAGG
rnacentral:rRNA from 1 species